rnacentral:tRNA from 2 species
GGGCGAUUAGCUCAGUGGGAGAGCGCUACCUUGACACGGUAGAGGUCACUGGUUCAAUCCCAGUAUCGCCCACGA